AACGAACGCUGGCGGCAUGCCUAACACAUGCAAGUCGAACGAGACCUUCGGGUCUAGUGGCGCACGGGUGCGUAACGCGUGGGAACCUGCACUUAGGUUCGGAAUAACUCCCCGAAAGGGGUGCUAAUACCGGGUAUAGUCUUCGAACCAAAGAUUUAUCGCCUUUGGAUGGGCCCGCGUUGGAUUACCUAGUGGGUAGGGUAAAAGCCUAUCAAGGCGACGCUCCAUAGCUGGUCUGAGAGGAAGAUCAGCCACACUGGGACUGAGACACGGCCCAGACUCCUACGGGAAGCAGCAGUGGGGAAUAUUGGACCAUGGGCGAUAGCCUGAGCCAGCAAUGCCGUGGGAGUGAUGAAGGCCUUAGGGUUGUAAAGCUCUUUUACCCGGGAUGAUAAUGACGGUACCGGAAGAAUAAGCACCGGCUAACUCCGUG
rnacentral:rRNA from 1 species